GACGAACGCUGGCGGCGUGCUUAACACAUGCAAGUCGAACGGAAAGGCCCUGAUCUUGUGGGGUGCUCGAGUGGCGAACGGGUGAGUAACACGUGAGUAACCUGCCCUUGACUUUGGGAUAACUUCAGGAAACUGGGGCUAAUACCGGAUAGGAGCUCCUGCUGCAUGGUGGGGGUAGGAAAGAUUCGGCGGUUGGGGAUGGACUCGCGGCUUAUCCGCUUGUUGGUGGGGUAGUGGCUUACCAAGGCUUUGACGGGUAGCCGGCCUGAGAGGGUGACCGGCCACAUUGGGACUGAGGGACGGACCAGACUCCUACGGGAGGCAGCAGUGGAGAAUAUUGCACAGUGGGCGGAAGCCUGAUGCAGCAACGCCACGUGCGGGAUGACUGCCUUCGGGUUGUAAACCGCUUUCGCCUGUGACGAAGCGUUAGUGACGGUAAUGAGUAAAGAAGCACCGGCUAACUACGUG
rnacentral:rRNA from 1 species